rnacentral:misc_RNA from 1 species
CCGAGUACCGGGUCCUCUGGGCCCUUACUCCCACCCUUUGUGUACCUACCGAUAUUUCGUUGCCUCGGCGGGGUCGAUCCCUGGAGCCCUCGUGGCCCCGGGGGGACCCGCCGGGGGGACACACCAAAACUCUUGUCAACUGUGUUGUCUGAGAAAAAACAAAAUAAAUUA